rnacentral:rRNA from 1 species
UUCCGGUUGAUCCCGGCGGAGGUUACUGCUAUCGAGGUUCGACUAAGCCAUGCGAGUCGAAUGUAGCAAUACAUGGCGUACUGCUCAGUAACACGUGGACAACCUACCCUCCGGACGGGGAUAAACCCGGGAAACUGGGUAUAAUACCCGAUAGAUCUCGACUGCUGGAAUGCGUCGAGAUCGAAAGCUCCGGCGCCAGAGGAUGGGUCUGCGGCCUAUCAGGUAGUAGUGGGUGUAGCGUACCUACUAGCCUACGACGGGUACGGGUUGUGAGAGCAAGAGCCCGGAGAUGGAUUCUGAGACACGAAUCCAGGCCCUACGGGGUGCAGCAGGCGCGAAAACUUUACAAUGCCGGCAACGGCGAUAAGGGGACCUCGAGUGCCAGGUUACAAAUCUGGCUGUCGUGAUGCCUAAAAAGCAUUGCAUAGCAAGGGCCGGGCAAGACCGGUGCCAGCCGCCGCGGUAACACCGGCAGCUCGAGUGGUAACCGUUAUUAUUGGGUCUAAAGGGUCUGUAGCCGGCCGGAUAAGUCUCUUGGGAAAUCCAGCAGCUCAACUGUUGGGCUUUCAGGAGAUACUGUCUGGCUCGAGGCCGGGAGAGGUGAGAGGUACUUCAGGGGUAGGGGUGAAAUCUUGUAAUCCUUGAAGGACCACCAGUGGCGAAGGCGUCUCACCAGAACGGACCUGACGGCAAGGGAC